UACGAAGGGGACUAGCGUUGUUCGGAUUUACUGGGCGUAAAGCGCGCGUAGGCGGAUCACUAAGUCAGGGGUGAAAUCCCGAGGCUUAACCUCGGAACUGCCUUUGAUACUGGAGAUCUGGAGAUCGGGAGAGGUUGGUGGAAUUCCGAGUGUAGAGGUGAAAUUCGUAGAUAUUCGGAGGAACACCAGAAGCGAAGGCGGCCAACUGGCCCGAUACUGACGCUGAGGCGCGAAAGCUAGGGGAGCAAACGGG
rnacentral:rRNA from 1 species